rnacentral:rRNA from 1 species
UACAGAGGUCCCAAGCGUUGUUCGGAUUCAUUGGGCGUAAAGGGUGCGUAGGUGGCGCCGUAAGUCAGGUGUGAAAUUUCGAGGCUUAACCUCGAAACUGCAUUUGAUACUGCGGUGCUUGAGGACUGGAGAGGAGACUGGAAUUCACGGUGUAGCAGUGAAAUGCGUAGAUAUCGUGAGGAAGACCAGUGGCGAAGGCGGGUCUCUGGACAGUUCCUGACACUGAGGCACGAAGGCCAGGGGAGCAAACGGG